GCACUAAUGUGGUGAGGAGUUGCUUUGG
rnacentral:piRNA from 1 species